UGACUUAAUCCCUCGCAGUAGUAGAGGAGGCUCGUGCCCAGCUCUCUAGCCGCCUUUGUUCGAGAAUAUACAUCGGAUUUUUUUGUAUUAAGCAUAAGGGGUACAAUGGUCCCAAGCAAGGCUUCCUUCACCAUAUCGAGAAAACAGAUGCUUGUUUUUGUACCAUUCACUUGGAUUGCAUAAGGCCUUUUCUCCGCUCAGAUAAAGGAUUUGGACAUAUUCUGCUAACGGACAGCUGCUAGCCACACCUUCGGGGCCAGUCGGUCUCACCGGUAGCUGGAGAAUGUGACUGGCAUAUCUAGUCGUCUGGCAAAUAAGUUA